rnacentral:rRNA from 1 species
UACGGGGGGGGUAAGCGUUGUUCGGAAUUACUGGGCGUAAAGGGCGCGUAGGCGGCCAACUAAGUCGGACGUGAAAUCCCUCAGCUUAACUGGGGAACUGCGUCCGAUACUGGAUGGCUUGGAUUUUGGAGAGGGAUGCGGAAUUCCAGGUGUAGCGGUGAAAUGCGUAGAUAUCUGGAGGAACACCGGUGGCGAAGGCGACCUCCUGGACAAACAUUGACGCUGAGGAGCGAAAGCCAGGGGAGCAAACGGG